GUCUGGCUCAACAAGAUAGGGUUCUGGAGUCCCAAGUUGGAAGGGAAAAUGGGCUCAGAGGUAGUUUCAGCGUCUCAAAUGACAGUCCCAAGGAGGUCUUUGACUGAUCACACACUGUUGUCCACAUUCUUGUCGAGAUGCUCAAAGAAUUCAAUAGAUUGAGAUGCAGAGAGAAUUAGAAUUCAGUAGCUGAGCAAGUAUGGAGAAAUGCAGUCCAAAAGGGAUGAAUGAAUACAAAGUCUGAAAGAAAAAUGCAAGAGGUGUGCUUUUAUGACUCCUUUCUUGGACUCAUGCAUCCAUAUCCUGAAUAUGCAAAAAGUAAGUAAUACUGUUUUCUUACUGCAAUUCACUGGCAGAUUCAUUACCAUUUCAUGGGAGAGUGGAACAGAAUCUUCGUCAUGUUACAGCAGUGUCUCAACCAUUGGAAAUAAAGCUGCCUGUUGGAAGGCAAAAAGAAAAGUUGUUAGUUUCCAAUUCUCUUUGAAGUAGUCUUAAGUUUAUAUCCAUUUCAAUGAAACCAGAAGUGGAUUUGAAGAUUGUCAGAGGAUGUAAAUAUAUAUAUUUGUUGAAAUAUUUUGGGGGAAUGGAUUGUAGUGCAUUGAAAUUAAGCUGUAAAGGGGAAAUCUACAUGAUAAAGGGUAUAAGAAGUUGCAUUUGCUUUUGAAGUCUGAUAAAAAAAAUAUCUAUCCUGCAGGAAUGGAUUUUUGGAUAGGACAAAAUUCACAACAUUCUCUUGGGGCUGACUGAUGUUUAGAUCAAUAUGAAAUAACGGAUGGUACAAAUUUACUAGUAGGUUCGAUGUAGUGCAGAUUUGUUCAGUGUGAAAUUUU